GAAUAGAUAAAAUUAUUAAAAUUAAUAUUUUUAUAUUAUUUAAUUAAAAUAGUAUUUAUUUUUAUUAUGAAAAAGAAAAAAUUUAUUUAAUAAUAGAUUAUUAGUAUUGUGAAAGAAUUUAUUUUAUAUAUUAAAAAGAAGAAUUUAAUUUUUGUACCUUNNNNNUCAGGGUUAAUUAAUUAAUAAUUUUUUAUAAAAAUUUUCCCGAAUUUAAAAGAGUUAAUUAUUUAUUUAUUUAAUUGUAAAAUAAAUUUUUAAAAUAAAUAGUUAGUAAUGAAACGUUAUUCGUUUUUAAAUAUAUCUGGUUUUUGAAGAAAUAAAUUGAAUUUAUUAAUUAAUAUAUAAAAUUUUAAUUAUUUAAUUUUUUAUUAUUAAUUAGUAAUUAUAUUAGGGAUAAGCUUAAUAUAAAAUUUCUAUAAUUAAUUAGUCGAUGAAAUAAUUUAUAAGAUUAAAAUUUUCUAUUAAUAAAAAAAUGUUAUAAUUAAUUAUUUUAUUAAAAUAUUUUUAUUUAAUUUAGUUAUUUAUUUAAAUUUAUAUAUUAAUUUUUUAUAUAUAGUAAUUAUGAUUAAAUUAGUAAAUAAUAAUGUAAUUUUAAAUUAAUAUUUAAGGUUAAAUUAAGGAAUUCGGCAAAUUUAUUUUUCACCUGUUUAAUAAAAACAUGUCUUUUUGAUUAUAAUUUAAAGUCUAAUCUGCCCACUGAAUUUUUGAAUGGCCGCGGUAUUUUGACCGUGCAAAGGUAGCAUAAUAAUUAGUUUUUUAAUUGAAAGCUGGUAUGAAUGAUUUGAUGAGAAAAUAGCUGUCUCAGUUUAAGUUAAAUUGAAUUUUAUUUUUAAGUUAAAAAGCUUAAAUUUUAUUUAAAGACGAGAAGACCCUAUAGAGUUUAAUAAAUUAGUUUUUUAAAUUAAUAGUUUUAAGUAUUUAUUUUAAUUAUAUUUAUUUUGUUGGGGUGAUAGAAAAAUUAAUAUAACUUUUUUUAUAUUUAAACAUAAAUUAAUGAUUUUUUGAUCCAUAAAUUAUGAUUAUAAGAUUAAAUUACCUUAG
rnacentral:rRNA from 1 species